GGCUGCGUUCAUCUACCAGCUGGAAACACGCUAUUUGCAAAGUCAGGCUGUGCUCUUGCCUCAAGUAGUGACCGGCGUGGUGGUGAACGUGUUGAACGUGAUCAUGAACACCAUUUUCCUGCACUCCUUCAAACUGGGUGUGGUAGGUUCAGCCUGGGCCAACACUCUUUCACAGAACCUGCAGGCAUUCCUGCUCUUCCUCUUCAUUUGGUGGAAAAAGAUCCAUAAGGAAACCUGGGGAGGCUGGACGAUGGAGUGCUUACAGGAAUGGGGUCCCUUCAU